UCGCUUUGGCAGCAAAAUACUAAAAAUUGGAACAAAUCAGAGAAGUUAGCAUGGCCCCUGCACAAGGAUGGCACGAAAAUUCGUGAAGCAUUCCAUAUUUAA